GCGAGAGGCUAGUCUUAUU
rnacentral:misc_RNA from 1 species